rnacentral:rRNA from 1 species
UCUACGGCCCUGCUACCCUGAACUAGCCCAAUCCCGUCUGAUCUUGGAAGCUAAGCAGGGUUGGGCCUGGCUAGUACUUGGAUGAGAGAUCACCUAGGAAGACCAGGUGCUAAUAGGA